AUGAACGAGGGUGAACAGGGCGGCCAGGGACCCGAAGGGGGGACCCCUUCAGUCCUUCGCCAUUCACUUUCCCCUCUAGUCUCACACCCCCCUUUAUAUUCCGCUUCACGUGGGGUGCGGGGCAGGAGGGAGGGGGAAGACAAGGCAAGGGGGAGACAAGGGGAGGGGGUGGGAAAACCGAGAAAUGCCCACCUUCUCCGGACAACUCAGAAGCCACCUAAACCCUCCUCCCGCCGCCGCGGCGGCGGCCGCUGCAAAACCCUCCCGGUCGCUCUGCACGAAGGCUGCGCGGAGCUAGUGUCGCCUUCCCCUCGCCACCCUCAGGGCCGCCGCCGCCGGCAAGCCCCGAGCUCAGUGUCGCUCAAACCUCCCCUCCCGGCCCCGCUGUCCCCGCUCGGCCCUCCCCCCACGCCCCUCGGACCCUUUCAAACCCCCUGGGCUCGCGGCGGCUGUUCCGUGAGCAAACGCUGGCCGCGGCUGGGGCCGGGGCGGCGAGGCUCGGAGCGGGGCGGCGGCGGGGCGCCCGGUACGGUGAGCCCAGCAACGAGGCGCGGGCGGGCGCGCAGAGACGCCGGGUCCUCGCGGAGCACGGCCGGGGCGCGGCGGCGGCAGUGGCAGCGGGAGCCCAGGGACAGCUCCAUCACUGGCAGCCAUGGAGCCCGAGCAUUUUCCUCCCUCAGGGCAGGCGCCUCGGCUCGGCACACGUCCUCGGGGAGGAAGGGGCCGGCGCCCGAGCCUCCCCGGAGGGCGGCGGGAUGUGCGCUAGCGCGGAGGGGUGCGAGUCGCUCCUGUCCUCUUCCUCCGCAGCCGGCUCGUCCUCACCCUUGCUGCUCCCGCGGCCCGGGCGGGAGGGGGCCGCAGGCAGCGGCGGCUCCUCGGCGGCGUUGGUGGCCAGACGGGCUGGUGCAAGCGACUGCAGCCGACGCCGUUCAAAGGAACGAGAGGUAUGUAUUAGCUUUUGCCAGACCUGGGUCAGAGCCCAAAGUCAAAACUGAGGCCAAAGGGACAAUCUUGCUGAGGACUCCUGCUGCUGCCAAGGGCUGUCCAUCCAUAGGAAGACUUCCCUUGACAGCCCUGUCCUGAGGCAGCUGGUUCUGGUGGGCAGCUGGUAGGUAUGUGUGGCGUGCAUG
rnacentral:lncRNA from 1 species